GCUAUUUUGGCAGAUAAGUGCGGUGGAUUUAGAAUCUAUUUAUGUGAGGUUUAUUUACACAUGUAGUA
rnacentral:tRNA from 1 species